UCCCUGGUGGUCCAGUGGUUAAGACGAUGUACUUCCAAUGCAGGGGACAUGGGUUCAAUCCCUGAUCAGGGAA